UGAAUUUUGCUGAGAGAACUUGAAAUUGUUCGUCAUCGAAAUUGCAACUGAGGGUUUUCGAGGCUAUUUUUAUUACAUUUUGGACCUGUGAAGAUUUAUUCUUGUUGCUUAUUCAUUACUAAUGUGCUAUCAAGUGAGCCGCGCUUUAAAUCAUUGCUAAAUGUGUGCUAAUCCAUGAGAAAUUAAGUCACAAAGAGGGAGUAUUUGGACAUGUUUAAACACCCAGGACAGUCUGAAGACCCUGGGGAUUUUUGUGCUUGCUAACUGGCCUUGCACACGCAUACACACUAAUGCAUUUUUUUCCUUUUUGUAUUCUUUUACUUCCUUUUGAUUAUUUGACUUCUUUCUUCAUUCUUUUUAAGAUAGUUUAAGGUAUUUAGAGUAGUUAAUUAUUUUUUGCACUAGCUUCUCAUGAAUGGUUUUGAUUCUAGGCACAAAUGGCUUCCAAACAAAGUGUGUCGGGCAAAGCAAAGAAAGGCAAUAAGGGUGAAGAAGGACUAAGAAGGGCACCUCUAAGGGAGGCCCAUGGCAAGCAAAUGUCUGAGCUUCGGGACUCAUCAUUCCCCAUGAUGAUCCAAGUAGAUAUUUCACGCUCUACAUCCUUUGCUCCACAAAAGUAAACUAAAAGAAAGGAUGCACCAACUGUUGCACCAUCCACAAAGAAGAAAACUAAAGUCAGUGACAAAUCUUCUAAACCUGCUUCACACUCACAGGUAAUGAAGGUUUGAGUACGCUUAAAGAAUGAAAAAUAAUCAAAAAUAUCAAGAAAAGACCAAGUCCAAGUGAAAAAUAGAAGAAAAGUUGAAGUUUGAGCUGAAGACCAUGCGUAGCCUUGCGUAGGCUACGCAGAGGAAAACCUGAGAAGUAAAGAUUUGAAGACAUUCUGUUUUUGCCUACGCAAACCUGCGUAGGCUAUGCAGAUAUCCUACGCAGAGGAAAAAAGGUGAAGUGUUCAAACUUGUGUAGGCUACGCAAUUAGCCUACGCCCAUGCAUCUAGCCUACGCAAUUGACUGAAGGGCAAUUUUGUCCUGUCGUGGGGCUUAGUAUAAAUAGCUAUUUUAAGUCAUUCUAGGGUAUCUUUUUGGAAGGAUACUUAUGUAGCAGUUGUUGGGGAUUUCUUCUUGAGGAAUUUGGAUGACUUCACCAUUGUUCUACACAAUCUUUCUUUCCUCUUUAGCUAUUAUGUUUAGUUUUUCAUCUCUUUUUGUAUUCUCCCUUCUUAAUAUGUCUAGCUAAGUUUAUUAAGUUAGGAUUGUGAACCCUAAGUGUGGUUAUAUUUUUGGGUUAUUAAUAUAAAUUCAAAUUUUGAUUAAGCUUUGUGUUA